rnacentral:pre_miRNA from 2 species
UCAACCCAUUUAACCUUCUAACCCAUCAAAUUAAAUGAGUUGAUGGGUUGACUCAACUCAUUUGGCUAAAUGAGUUGAGUCAACCCAUGAACUCAUUUAACUCUAAACUCAUUGGGUAAUGAGU